AUCAACUUUCGAUGGUAGGAUAGAGGCCUACCCNGGUGGUAACGGGUAACGGGGUGUUAGGGCACGACACCGGAGAGGGAGCCUGAGAAACGGCUACCACAUCCAAGGAUGGCAGCAGGCGCGCAAAUUACCCAAUCCCGACACGGGGAGGUAGUGACAAUAAAUAACAAUACGGGGUUCUUGAGGAUCUCGUAAUUGGAAUGAGUACAAUUUAAAUCUCUUAACGAGGAACAAUUGGAGGGCAAGUCUGGUGCCAGCAGCCGCGGUAAUUCCAGCUCCAAUAGCGUAUAUUAAAGUUGUUGCAGUUAAAAAGCUCGUAGUUGAAUUUCGGGAUCAAUUUGUCGGUCGUGCCUCGGUACGUACUGGCAUUAUUGGUUUCUACCUUCUGAAGAACCUUGAUGUCAUUAAUUUGGUGUCUUGGGGAAUCAGGACUGUUACUUUGAAAAAAUUAGAGUGUUUAAAGCAGGCAUACGCUUGAAUACAUUAGCAUGGAAUAAUGAAAUAGGACGUUUGAUUCUAUUUUGUUGGUUUCUAGGAUCGACGUAAUGAUUAAUAGGGAUAGUUGGGGGCAUUAGUAUUCAAUUGUCAGAGGUGAAAUUCUUGGAUUUAUUGAAGACUAACUACUGCGAAAGCAUUUGCCAAGGAUGUUUUCAUUAAUCAAGAACGAAAGUUAGGGGAUCGAAGACGAUCAGAUACCGUCGUAGUCUUAACCAUAAACUAUGCCGACUAGGGAUCGGAUGAUGUUAUUUUUAAUGAC
rnacentral:rRNA from 1 species